CCCACGAGAAAUCAGCAUCAUCACCGUUCUAAUGCAUGGGCUUACCGGGGCUCAAGCCCUAGGCCCGGCAACAUGAAAGGGCCCACGAGGCUCGGGAAAAUUAAUAAAAUGAUAUGAAAUAUAGAGCAAAGUGAGAUAUCGGUCCUCCUGUUUAGUAUCUGCUCCGAAACAGAAGCCGUCCAGCAGCUGUUUGUCGGUGUGUGACACCAGAGCGGGAGGUUUGAAAGCGGCUAGCUGAGGUUAGCAUGCCAGGGCUAAUGUUCAAAAACAAGUUAAAUUAAAACAGAAUCAUGCUUGACUUGUCAUUGAUCAAUUGGAAAGUGACAUUGUUAGAACCCUGGACUUUACUGCUCUAAUCAAGGACUUUGCUACACAUAAAACCAGGAGGAAGAUGUUUUCAAGUCCUCUCCAUCAGCCGAGUGUAUUAUCAGCUGACAGAUGUUCUCCAGAGAGACUGGACUAAUAGUUGGGUGUGUGUCCCGGUGAUGUGUGGCCCCUCUAACUGUAGGACACGCUCAGGUCUGCUGGGCUGACUCUGGUCCUGGUGGAGAAGACUCUGGGCAAAUCUCUGGCUGUCCCACCUCUCCGAGAUGGGCCAGAGGGAUAGAUCAGAGAUAAUGGAGUUGGCCUACUGAAGGUCCCAGAGGAGGCCAGCAAAGAAACUGAAGGAUAAAGGAAAAGAGCAAGCAAGCUAGCCGAUGGGGGGUUAUCAUCACUGGACUCAUAUCAAAGGAAGCUGAUGAGCAGCUGCUCCAUCAAACCUGAAGAAAUGGAGGCAAAAGAGCAGCAUUUCAGCUGCAGUGGCUCUACAACGGGACAUGCUUCUCUCUGUGUUUGCUGUUGGAUCUGAUGCAGAUCAGCAGGCAUAACGUGGCUGCUUUGACUGGCAGCUUCAGAUUGAAAGUGUGCUUUCCUGACAUGAUUACUGCAUCCUAAUGUGCAGGCAAGCCUGUAUUUGAACAAACACAACAUAUAUAGACUUCUAAAGGAUAUUUACAUCUCAGCCACUCGGCACAUAGACUGUGCAUAUCUGUUCAGGUAUUUGUAAAGCACAUUUGCAAUUUACCUCUGUUUAUUUUCAACAGUGGAUUGAAACAACAAAUAGCUCCACUGAGACUGCCUUGUAUAAUAAAACUCAAACUAAAUGUUAUUAAGAGCUGCAAAUUAAUAAAUGAGAAGUAAACAUUUUGUGCUUUAUAGCAGAAUUGUUCAGUGAAACGGCCAGGACCACAUUAGGUUUCUACGGGAAUUUCACAGUACGUAACAGAUGACUGCAUUAGACUCUUAUCCAGUCGCUUCAGUAAUUAAACUGAUUUAAAUCACUGAAAUGAGUGUCUGUGCUUUUCCCAAGAGAAGACUAUCACCCCAAAUGUAAUAAAUAAAAUAUGCAUAUUUGUCUAUGAAAUGUGCAAGCUUGCGGAACAGGAACUACUGGCAGCCUGAGACCUCAGGGAUAAAGAAGAGAGAAGAGAGACCACAAAACCUCAGUUCAUGAUACAAUAAAACACUUGUUUACUUGGGGAUAUACAAUAACAUGGGGUAAGAAAUCCUGUUAAAGGUUUUGUGUUUCCAACUAUUUAAUUAAUCUAUGUUGCAAUAGAGGCUUUGGGGUAUUUAAUCUCACUGACAGUUUCAGAGUUCCAGAUGUAAACCAGAUAUUUGUUAAAAUACCACCAGAGAACUAAAUAUUGAAACAGUUCACUGCUUAAUGGAAGAGAUUUUUUGCACCAGGCAUCAUACUCUGUACCGUAGAGUGCUACAACUUUCUGUACGCCAUGAUUUACAAGUCAUCAGACAGCCAUGAAAACGAAAAUAAUAUUCUAACAUGAAUAUGCAGGGUGUUCCCCAGUCUGCGUGUCUAAAUAUCGGAUGUGUGAUGAAGUCCGAAGCCUCAUCCUCCCUGGUGGAAUCACAUUGUAAACGCUCAUUGAGCAGCUAUAAAUACAAGUAAUCCUACAAAGCUCUGGGGUGGCAGCAUUAGAGCGGGUGAUGAAACAAACCCUGAAUGAGGAGUCUGAAUAAAAUUGACUGCACUCAAACAGCAAACAUUAUUGUAUGAUGCCUUCACAGACAGAUAAUGUGAACUAAAAUAUGCAAAAGAAGCAAAAUACUUGCAGCCAUUUCUGAAUAUAAAAAGGUAUUUGAUCAAUGUUAUAUUUACAGAAUUUACAGAACUUUUGCUCAAUGAGCCAGAACUUACUGGAAGUGAAAUGUUCAACUAUAAAAUCAUUAUUACAUUAAUAAAUGUUAUAGCAGCCAGUCAAAGAGAUUGCACUGUAACAGCAUGGAAGGAAGAGUGCGAGAGCGGGCCAGAGCUCCACAAAAGGUCCAGUGUUGCCUUUCCUUUUUUAUCUCUCACUCUGUAUGAAUCAUAGUGAUAAAAGGCGUCCUUUUUCCCCUUGAGAAUAAUAUGUUUCACAGACACUGUCAGAACUUUUCUCUCCAUCAUCUAUUUUACAUUGUGUCUGUGAAAAACUGAAUCUUAUUUCCAUUAUGUGUAGUUGGAACAGGAAUAAUGCGAGAGGGAAAAACAUGUUUUUUUACGGACAGUCAGAUGGGAUUUUUGUUGUUUUCUUAAAAUCAAUGUAAUUAUGAUUCUAAUAUGAGCCACUAACCUGCCAUACAAUAUAAUAGUGUAUUUCAGGGGCUCUCUAGUGACGAGACAACACAUUAUUGUAAAAUGUGGUGAAUUGUUUCAAAAUAAACAACAUUAGCAGAGGAAUCACAGUUCUGAAAACAAUCACAGAUGUUUUACAGAUGAAAAUUAGCCUUUCUGGCUAACUCUGGCAUAUUUUCAGAAAUGUUAUUAAUAUGCAC